AGUAGCCAUGGUGAGGCAGCGUGU
rnacentral:siRNA from 1 species